CUGAUUGGACAGCAGCGGCGUGGGCGUGGCCGAGGAGGGCUUCUGGUUUCCACCGCUCGCGAGGCAGUGGCGGGUGCCGGCUCCGCGGCAGGGCGGCGGGGUGGGAGACCAUGCGGAAAGCGGUGUUGGUCACCGGGGCGAGCAGCGGCGUUGGCCUCGCCCUCUGCAAGCGGCUGCUGGAGGAGGACCACGAGCUGCACCUGUGUCUGGCCUGCAGGAACAGGAGCAAAGCGGAAGCGGUCCGCGAGGCUCUGCUGGCCUCUCACCCCCUCGCCGAGGUCAGCAUCGUGCAGGUGGAUGUCAGCGACCUGCAGUCGGUGUUCCGGGCUUCCGGGGAGCUCAAGCAAAGGUUUCAGAGAUUAGACUAUGUCUAUCUGAACGCUGGGAUCAUGCCCAACCCACAGCUGAAUAUCAAAGCGCUUUUCUCUGGCCUCUUUUCAAGAAAAGUGAUUCAUAUGUUCUCCACAGCUGAAGGAUUGCUGACCCAGGAAGAUCAAAUCACUGCCGACGGGCUCCAGGAGGUGUUUGAGACCAACGUCUUUGGCCACUUCAUCCUGAUUCAGGAACUGGCACCUCUCCUCUGUCACAGUGACAGUCCUUCCCAGCUUAUCUGGACAUCGUCUCGCAAUGCGAGGAAAUCGAAUUUCUGCCUCGAGGACAUCCAACACAGCAGAGGCCAGGAGCCCUACAGCUCCUCCAAGUACGCGGUUGACCUGCUCAGCGUGGCUGUGAACAGGAACUUCAACUCGCGGGGUCUGUAUUCCAGUGUGGUGUGCCCGGGUACCAUGGUGACCAAUAUGACGUGUGGAAUUCUCCCUCCCUGUGUGUGGACACUGCUGACGCCAAUCAUAUGGCUGCUUCGCUUUUUUGCAAAUGCUUUCACUCUGACACCGUACAAUGGAACAGAAGCCCUGAUGGACCUGGAUGAAGACACUGCUGAAAAUUUUUACCAAAUUUGCUAGAAUGUGAAACGCGUAUUAGGUCGACUGUUCACAUCUCAUAUCUGAAACUGAGGAUGAAGCCCCCUGAAACACCACCACCUCCCACCCACAUGCCGAGAGCUGCCAUGUUGUUAGUGGGAGCAUUUGUAGUGAACCAGCCCAGGCGCCCUGAGACCAUGGGGCACCUGGCUUUCACGGCCAGUUUCUAAGUGACGCAGCUGUUGGGACCCAGAGCACGUUCACAGCAGGGGCAGGACGAUGGGAGGACUAGGGGUGCCUAGUUCAUACAACAUCUAAUUAAGGAAAUUUUCUCCUAUAAGUCUCAGGUGCUGUUCCAAGUGCUUGCUGAAUCCUCAGAUAACUUCACAAGGUAGGGAACAUCUUUCCCAUUUUACAUGUGAGGAAACUGAGGCACAGACAGGUCCAGCAGGCCACCCAAGGCCUCACUGCUAGUAAGUGACAGAGUCAGUGUUUCAACCCUGACAGUCUGGGUCCAGAGUCUAUGUUCUUAGCCACCAUGUUUUUUUUUUUUAAUUUAUUUUUAUUUAUUUUGAGAGAGAGAGAAAGAACAAGAGGGGGAGGGGCAGAAAGAGGGAGACAGAAUCCCAAACAGGCUCUGUGCUGUCAGCACAGAGCCCAAGGGGGGGCCCAAACUCACAAACUGUGAGAUCGUGACCUGAGCCAAAAUCAAGAGUCAGACGCUUAACUGACUGAGCCACCCAGAUGCCCCAAGCCACCAUGUUUUAAUGGGAUCAUUGAGAAGGGAGUUCUCCUUCUCAAUUUUUACUGAAUGGUAUAGACAGCUUUGGAAAGUCCGAGAUUCUGGACACCACUGUGUAGUCCUUCGUUCUGGGAUGACCAGUAGCUACGAACUAGAAACUAGUUUUUGAAGUUAGUUACAUUAUUUUUGUUAUCACUACUUAACGCUAUAGUCUCUGGGAACCAGAUAGCCUUCUAAGUGACGUAUAUAUUUGGAAAGGGUUAUUCUGUGGAGACUGGGGGUGUUUUGGAAGAACAAUGUUAUCAAGAAUGGGAGCACACAGCUUAUAGGUAAAGAGGCCUCUUUGGGAAAAUGACAGAAAUAUUUGCCCCUUGGCUUAUGGAGUCAAAGAAAACACAGUACCAAUACACGACGAUGGCUUAUUUGAAAUUUUCUAAUCGAAGCCAGAUCUGGAGGCUCUAGUGGGAACACACGUUAAAGCCCAAGAAGGGUGGUCGAGAAGUUCCUUUUGCCCAGAAGGCAAGGAGGCCCUCCGUGUCUCCAACAUUGGAGAGUGUUGAAAAUGGCGGAAUGCUCUGUCCUCAGCCGUCUCGGAGGGUGGCCAUCAGUUCGAGGAUAACUGCUCUGUGUUCGCUAAGCCCGGGGGUCUUUUUUUGGCUGUUUUCACUUCCCUUUCCUAAGGCGGCUUGCGCAUUAACAGUUGCUCAAUCCAUGGUUGUUGACCAGGUGUAAAAAAAAAAAAAAAAAAAGAGGUGAAACCAAAUCCACCCAGAUGUAGUGAAAGGACAGCGGAAGGAGACAUAAGAAAGAAGGAAAUGAAGAACUUAAGCGAGGCAGAGCUCAUCUGAAACACAGAAGUGACUGGAAGCCUGAGAGGUAUUAGCUCAAAAAGGCUUGUUGUGUGAGCCUCUCCAGCGAGCUGUGUACAUGAGGAAGGAGGGCUGUGGAAGGGAGGGCAGCCUGAAAUCCAGGUCGGGUCAGGGUCUUGCUUCCUUGGAAUUCAGGCCUCUGAGAGAGCCCUCCUAGGAGGUGACGGUGUCACUCUGGCCUCAGCCCGAUGGCUCGCCGCCCUGCCUUUCCCCAGAGCCGGAGGCCUCACCUUCCUGCAGCCUCUUCAGUUCUUUCUGGAGCUGUCUCUGCUGGCGGGUCAGCAACUUCAUGUGGUAGAGGCAGACCCGCUCCAGUCUCUGCAGUCUUUGGCUGAGCCUGGCGUCGGCCUGCCUGGCGUUCUUCCUCUCCAAAUCGAAGUGCUUAUGCAGAGGCCCCCCGACCAUGUGCCUCUCCAUCCUCUUCCCGAUCUAGGGGCAGUAAAACAAGAUUCUCCCAGGCCCCGCGAUUCACCCGAUAGAGCAAGAUGGGGACCCAGACCCCUGGCUUUCAAUCAGGUUUCAGCGUUUGAUGAAGUCACACCAUUGGGAAAUUUUGCCCUAUCCUAAUGGAUUCCCAGAUUGAGGGCAAAAUCAUUGCUCUGAGGCUCAGUGUCCUUGUCAAUAAGAUAGCGAUAGAUGAUAGGGUCCCCCAGGGCCCCAGUCACACUGCCGUGAAGAUCAAGCAUACGAGUAACUCUUUGGGAAAAAAAUAGAAACACUUUACAUCUCUAAGGCAUGAUGCACCCAAUAAAAGAGAUCCUUCUAUUCCUUGAAGCCUCCCCAAAAAGCCUGCUCAGGGGUCUAGAGAGGAUCUGGGACUUAGGCGGAGACAUUCUGGGGCCCCUUCUGUUCAUUCAUUCACACAUGCAUGGGUCCACGCAGCCUGUUAGCCUACCAGGUGCUAGGUGCUAUUCUAAGUGCUGAGGGUGGUGGUGACUGAGUCACAGUGUCUACUCCCAAGGGGGCUUUCAGACUUGUGGCUGUGGAAUCCAAGGAUCCACACCAAAUCUGAACAAUCAACAUUUCGAAUAUGGAAGGGUCGGGACCUACUGGUCACAAAACGGUGCAGGCAUCCCAGACCAGCAGUCUGGGCGGCACUGGUGAGACAGCUUGGGUGGGACGCCCUCACCCGUCUUUUCAGAGCCCCGUGGUCUCUGCCCUUCUUGUCCCCCGAUCCCCAAGCCCAAGCUGGCUUCGUCCUCUGGGGAACUCUAUCGCACACACAGGCUGGACACGCCUUCCUGGUCUUGGAGUCCUUUGCAAUAACAUAUUCAGCGCUAAGAGCACAAUAUGUGCCCAGGAUAUAAAUGCAUCGCUAUCAAUGGAGCUUUGGUGGUAAUAAUGCAGGAGAAAGCUUGGUGUUGAAAGGGAGGAUAAGGCCAGGGCCCAGGAAGGACGCGUUAAGACAGCUCGCUUUAUAGUCUAAGUGUAGACUGAACUUUAAACAAAGGACAGGUGAGUGGCACUUACCUACAAAGCCAGGUUGCUCACCGGGAGAAUGCUGCUUGUAUCUUUUGCGGCGUCAGGCUGAGACUGGGUUAAUGCACUUGUUUUCCUUCAGAAAAUUUAGGAGUUUGGUGUUGAGGAGCGAGGAGGGAGAGGCCGGGGGGGGGGGGGGGAGAAUGUUUGAAUACGCUUUAAGCUCUCUCCCAUGCCACCUCCCCUACACAGGCAUGCUAACUCCCUGGACACGGGCACCAAUCCCAGUGCUCUAAAUAGCUCUGUGAGUUAAGGAAGCCUGCCAGCUUCCAGCCCUCCCAGAGCGGGGCCCACAGCGCUCCUCUGGGUUGUGUCUAUGGGAACCAAGAAUGAAAGCAGAGAGUGUCUUGCUGUACUCACAGUCUCUCUCCUUCCCCGCCCCCCCUCUCUUUUUC